rnacentral:rRNA from 1 species
GCAGCAGCCACGGUAAUACGUAGGGUGCAAGCGUUAAUCGGAAUUACUGGGCGUAAAGCGUGCGCAGGCGGUUAUAUAAGACAGAUGUGAAAUCCCCGGGCUCAACCUGGGAACUGCAUUUGUGACUGUAUAGCUAGAGUACGGCAGAGGGGGAUGGAAUUCCGCGUGUAGCAGUGAAAUGCGUAGAUAUGCGGAGGAACACCGAUGGCGAAGGCAAUCCCCUGGGCCUGUACUGACGCUCAUGCACGAAAGCGUGGGGAGCAAACAGGAUUAGAUACCCCUGUAGUCCCUGUCUCUUAUAC